GCACCGAAGCCGUGAGGUGAAGGUGUGACGGUGUCAGCAGGGAGGGCUCAGGGCAGGGACCGGGCUCUGCUCCCUGGGCCCAGCCAUGGCACAGGAGGAUGGGCAGGAACUGAUGCCCAGCAAGUUCCACCUGAACACGAGGAAGAACUUCUUCCCUACGUGGCUGUGUCUCACGGUUUAGCAGCUCCCCCGGAAGGCUGGCCCAAAGCCAUGCAGCCACUCCUGUCACCCAGGCUGGGCUGAGCCCCUGCAGCAGGGAGGCACCACCAAGGAGCGAGUGUUUGUGUGCACGGUCGGCAGGGACACACCUGGGGCGCCUGGCAAAGCCUGCCCGGCUCGGGUCCCUGCCGUCGGUCCUGCUGCGGGGCAUUCUCGGGCUGCGGGAGCCAGC